UUCCGAAAAUAAAAACUUUAUAGAAAUAUAAUUGAUACGAAAUAAAAAUUUAUACAUAAAUAUAUGUAAGUAUAUAAAGAGACUAUUAGGAAAUACUAGCUAUGUAUUAAAGAGAUUUAUAUUUAUCCCAUUAAUUAGGAUAAUAAACUCUAAGAGAAAUCAGAUAAUAAACGAAGCGAAUUGAAUUAUCUUAUUAGCUUCAGGAAAAGAAAUCAAAAGAGAUUCUAUGAUUAGCGUGAGCAAAAAUAGAUAAGUCUAAAUAAUAAGUAAAAUGACUUUAAAGUUGUUUGAAUAUAAUGGGGAACCUUCCUCAAAGACUAAAUAUAAUACAUAAGCGAUAGUGAAAUAGUACCGUGAGGGAAAAGUAAGUAGAAUUAGUAGUUUUAUAAGCAGCUCGAGCGAAAGCAAGAGCGUACCUUUUGCAUAAUGGGUCACCAAGUUAAUUUUAGAUGCGAGCUAAUUAAUAAGCGUAGUUAAACCGAUCAUGAAAAGAAUGAAGAGUAUCUAAAAUUAGACCCGAAGUACAGUGAUCUUACCAUAGUCAGGACUAUAAAGGUCCGAACGGGUUAUCGUUGCAAAGAUAUCCGAAGAAUUAUGGUAAGUAUAGUGAAAGACAAUCCGUGACUGUAUUAGCUGGUUUUCUGCGAAACCUAUAACAGUAGGCAGUUUAAGUUACAUCUUUACAGGUACAGAACUUAAUCUCAGACAAGGUGUAUAUUAAAAUACAUUUUAUUUUGUAUAGAUCGGGGGAUCAUAAAGAUUUUACCGGUGAGUUUGUGGACUCGAAAUGGUAAAGAUGAAUCUUAAAUUAUCGGACAUAGAAUGAUAAGGUUGUAUGUCAAAAGGGAAACAGCCCAGAACAAGAGUUAAGGUUCCGAAGUUAUUAUUAAGUGAAAUUAAGAAGGUUUUUAUCUAAGUCGACAAGGAGAUUGGCUUAGAAGCAGCCAUAAUUUAAAGACCUCGUAUCAGAGCACUUGUUAAAUGUUAAAAGCGUCGAAAAUUUAACGGAUCUAAAUAAUACACCGAUACCUUGUCUAUAAAUGAUUAUAAUUAUUCUAAUUAUUUAUGGGGUAGCAGAACGUUGAGUUAAUUUUAGUGUUUUUUUUUAUAAAAAAAAUAAUAUUAUAACUCAAGUGAGAAUGGUGACAUGAGUAACGAAAAAGAAAAUUUUAUAAUUAUAAUUAAAUUAUAAUUAUAAAAUACUCGCCUAAAGCUUAUGGUUAUGAUAAGUAACGGCCUCUAAGUUUAUAACCUGAAGGUUAAAACGAUGAGAAAAUUCUUAUUACUAUUAAUGACAACAUUUUUAAGUGGAAAGUGUACAGGAAAUAAUUAGUAAUACUGUAUUAAAAAUACAAUAACCGUUCCUAGGAACUACAACAAGUAAGCUAGUAGAGAAUACGAAGGCGCAUGAGAUAACAAUCUUAAAGGAACUCGGCAAAUUGACUACCGUAACUUAGGGAUAAGGAGGGCUCAUUUCUCCUGAUUAAUAUCAGGUAAAAAGGAAGAAGCAUAAAAUAAUGUUGUACGACUGUUUAAUUAAAACAAAGCACUUUGCAGAAAGAUGAUAAAUCUAAGUAUUGAGUGUGAUGUCUGCCCGAUGCCGGCUGGUUAACGAAAUCUACUAAAUUAUAAAAAUUUGGUUUUUAAGGAACCCCCGGUCAAUGGCGGCCUUAACGUGAGGGUCCUAAGGUAGCGAAAUGCCUUGGCCGUUAAAUGCGGUCUUGCAUGAAUGAUAUAACGAUACAACAGCUGUCUCUAAGAUUGACUCAGUGAAAUUGGAAUAACUGUGCAGAUACAGUUUACCUCUAGGUAGACGAGAAGACCCUAUGCAGCUUUACUGUUACUAAUUAUUGGAUAUAAUCCAAACAAAUUUUAGUUUAGAAGGUUCAUCGAUUAGAUAAAAGUGAAAGACCUUUAUUUGUUUAUUAUAUUAUAAACCUUGAAUUAAAAAGGAACAGUUGUUAGAAGACAGUUUAUGUGGGGCACAGACCCCUUAAAGAGUAAAAGGGUGUAUCUAAAAUUAUAACUUAUAUUAUUAUAUAAGUUUAUUAUAUAUUUUAUUGUUUGUAAUUAUUUUUAACUUUGUUAUAUUUAAUCAUAUAUUUUUGUGUAUAAAUAUAUACAUGUUAUUAGGUAAGAUUACCCUAUUGAGAAAUUAGGAGUAUAAUAAUAUAUUGUAUUUAUAUAAUAUAUUAUAAUUAUUAUGGUUUUAAUCAUUAAUAAUCAUGUUUAAUACUUAUUAAGUUGAAUGGCUUAAUCUUGCUUUACUGUUUGAUUCACAACAAAUCUUACAGUCGCGUAAGCGGGGCAUUGGAUCACAAGAUACAACAAGGAAAGGUCUUGGAUUAUUGGAAAAGCUACGCUAGGGAUGUUUGUCCUUCAAUAUUUUUUUUAAAUAAUUGAUAUACAUAAUCCUCAUGGAUGCAGAAACUAUGUAGGGUACGACUGUUCGUCGAUUAAAAAGUUACAUGAGCUGGGUUAAGUACGUCGUGAGACAGUACGGUUUCUAUCUUCUAGGGGGAAUUAGAAUAUAAUAAGGAUUAACCUUGUACGAAAGGAACCUGGGCAACGCCUUAUUCCCAAAAGGAAUAACGGUUUUAUUAACCUCUGGUUUAUCUGUUGUUUAUGUGCCCAAUUAUUAAUUUAGGUAUAAUAGUAAUAUUAUACAGGGAUGUUACUUUCACUUAGGUAAAUGUAUAGCAUAGGCAUGGCAGAAAAGCUAAGUUAGUCAGAGAUAAGUGCUGAAAGCAUAUAAGCACGAAGCUCACCUUAAGAUAUUUCUUAAAUAUACGUAAAAGAAUAUUACGUAAUAGGCUUAGUUUGUAAUAAUCUAGAGAUUUUUAGAUACUAAGUACUAAUUUUAUAAAUAACUGAAUAUUUAUCGU
rnacentral:rRNA from 1 species